GAUGAACGCUAGCUACAGGCUUAACACAUGCAAGUCGAGCGACCGGCGCACGGGUGAGUAACACGUAUCCAACCUGCCCUUUACUCGGGGAUAGCCUUUCGAAAGAAAGAUUAAUACCCGAUAUUAAGGCUGGGGAUGCGUUCCAUUAGGUUGUUGGUGAGGUAACGGCUAACCAAGCCUUCGAUGGAGAGGGGUUCGGAGAGGAAGGUACCCCACAUUGGAACUGAGACACGGUCCAAACUCGUACGGGGGGCAGGGGAGAAGAAUAUAAUUCGAUGGGCGGUAGUGUGGACAAGCCAAGUAGCGGGAGAGGUGAAGGCGUUGGAAUCGUAAUCGUGUUGUAUAUAAGGAUAGGUAUUAUAUGAAGAAGCAUCGGCUAACUCCGUGCCAGCAGCCGCGGUAAUUC
rnacentral:rRNA from 1 species